GGAGCUUGCGUCACAUUAGUUAGUUGGUGGGGUAAAGGCCUACCAAGACUAUGAUGUGUAGCCGGGCUGAGAGGUUGAACGGCCACAUUGGGACUGAGACACGGCCCAAACUCCUACGGGAGGCAGCAGUAGGGAAUUUUCGGCAAUGGAGGAAACUCUGACCGAGCAACGCCGCGUGAACGAUGAAGUAUUUCGGUACGUAAAGUUCUUUUAUUAGGGAAGAAUAAAUGAUGGAAAAAUCAUUCUGACGGUACCUAAUGAAUAAGCCCCGGCUAACUAUGUGCCAGCAGCCGCGGUAAUACAUAGGGGGCAAGCGUUAUCCGGAAUUAUUGGGCGUAAAGGGUGCGUAGGCGGUUAAAUAAGUUUAUGGUCUAAGUGCAAUGCUCAACAUUGUGAUGCUAUAAAAACUGUUUAGCUAGAGUAAGAUAGAGGCAAGUGGAAUUCCAUGUGUAGUGGUAAAAUGCGUAAAUAUAUGGAGGAACACCAGUAGCGAAGGCGGCUUGCUGGGUCUUUACUGACGCUGAGGCACGAAAGCGUGGGGAGCAAACAGGAUUAGAUACCCUGGUAGUCCACGCCGUAAACGAUGAGUACUAAACGUUGGGUAAAACCAGUGUUGAAGUUAACACAUUAAGUACUCCGCCUGAGUAGUACGUACGCAAGUAUGAAACUUAAAGGAAUUGACGGGACUCCGCACAAGCGGCAGGAUCUUGUUGUUUAAUUCGAAGGUACCCGAAAAACCUCACCAGGUCUUGACAUGCUUCUGCAAAGCUGUAGAAACACAGUGGAGGUUAUCAGUUGCACAGGUGGUGCAUGGUUGUCGUCAGCUCGUGUCGUGAGAUGUUGGGUUAAGUCCCGCAACGAGCGCAACCCUUAUUGUUAGUUACCAGCACGUAAUGGUGGGGACUUUAGCAAGACUGCCAGUGAUAAAUUGGAGGAAGGUGGGGACGACGUCAAAUCAUCAUGCCCCUUAUGACCUGGGCUACAAACGUGAUACAAUGGCUGUUACAAAGGGUAGCUGAAGCGCAAGUUUUUGGCGAAUCUCAAAAAAACAGUCUCAGUUCGGAUUGAAGUCCUGCAACUCGACUUCAUGAAGUUGGAAUCGCUAGUAAUCGCGAAUCAGCAUGUCGCGGUAAAUACGUUCACGGGGUUUGUACACA
rnacentral:rRNA from 1 species